AGUCUGGAGUGUGUGACUCGCACCCUGCGAGGGCCCGGGCAAGGCUGUGUGUGCUGGGGGGGCAGACUGAGAUCUGGGUGACAGGUUUGUUGGGGCGUACUGCUGUGCUGCUGAACACACUGGGCUACCAAGACAACGGACACCUCGUAAAUCCCAAAGAUCAGCUAAGGUCAUGCGGCCAAAUCGGACACCUCCCAGCAGCGUGGUAACAGGACCCAGCAUGAAAGGGUUACAGUCGCGCCAACUGGGAAGGCCUGGCCCAGGCACAGCCGCCCUGCCCCGGCUGCGGGUAGCUGGCUGGCCAGGAGAGGAAGCAGAACAGGCUGAGCUGCCGCCGUACUUUGCAGUUCCAGUGCCAGGGUGAGGCUCCCCACUGACCUUUUGGCCCCGGUGCCAGGCAGACUGGCCAAGGAUCAUGUGACAUGGGGCCUUCCAGGCCCAGCCAGGGGACGUCUGCUCUCCAGAGGCAGGAGGCGCCUGUGGCCCGCAAGUUGGGGGCACCGCGGUCAGGUAGCUCAGCUGACAAGGAAUGGUUGUGUCCUGAGCAAGUGUGAAUUCUGGAGUGUGUGUAUCGCACCAGCAGGGACUGCAGUGCUGGGAAUCCGCUCCCACUGCCUCAGUGACGGUGGGGAAGGGGAGCUGUGCACUGCACUGCUGGGCUGCCUCAUUGCCAGCCUGGAGGCAGAUCAUUCACCUGCCCUGCCCCUCCUAGGGGUCCCCCCAUGUGACAUCUCACGCAGGCGGCAUGCCCCCACCCGGCAGGGCCUGGACCAACAGACACAAGCCAACAACCAUCCCUGGCCCCCAGGAGCAGCUCCCAAUCCGGACACUUGCAAAUAUCCACACACACAUGAACAGAGCUGCUCUCAAUCUCACACACUGUACAUACACAUACACAGCUGCUCACAAUCACACACUGUACAUGCACACACUCAGCUGCUCACAACCACACACUACAUGCACACACUCAGCUGCUCACAAACUCACACACACAGAGCUGCUCACAACCACACACUACAUGCGCACACGCAUACACACAGAGCUGCUCACAAUCACACACACAGCUGCUCACAACCACACACCUUGGCAUACACACACAGGUGCUCACAAUCUCACACACACACAC
rnacentral:lncRNA from 1 species